AAGCAGACACCACCAACUGCUCAGUGAGGCCUUUCCUGAGGGCGGUCCCAGGCACGGCCCCGCCCCCUAGCCGCCCAGGCCCCGCCUGCCAGCUCUGAACCACACACUGUGUCCUACUAGACUAGACAAGGCCCUCACUCAGCUAUUCCCAGCCAGCCACGGUGCCCAGGGUAAACUACAGCACGCAUGGUGGACAGAGGGACAGAGGAUGAACGGAGAAGCACAGGGCUGGCUGCUGGGGACCUGGCAGAUGCUUCCUAUCCCUGCUGGCUGGUGACAUCACCGCUGUGACGUCACACUCUGGCUUCCUGGGCUUUGGGAGUGCUGGUUCUGGUGAUAACCACUUCCUGCUCCCGGCCAGGGUGACUCAGGACUUCCUUCUGCUCCCGGAGUCAUCACUGAGCCUGGCUCUCCUAUACUUUUCUUUGGUGAAGCAUGAAUUUAUCAUCACGGCUCAUGAUUCAUCCUAAACAGUUGGAGCUCUGUGCUCUGUUAGCUGCUAUCUGGGCAGCUGUUGGGCUUGGUGGCCUUGCUGUACAGAUACAGUUCCAUCGUCCUUAGAGCAAAAAGACUGACUGAAGAAUGCAGCCUAUGAAGGGGAUUUGAAGUGCGAGCCUCCAACAUGGCUGUGGUUCUGCCAGCAAGAGCAGGGUAUGUGGCUUGAAACAUUGUCCACCUGAUGUUUGCUUUUGCUUUUAAGACAGAUGCCAACACGGAAGCUAACAGUUUCUGACCUCAUAUGUAAACAACAGGCCAUUUCAGGGUAGCUUGCAGCUAUGCGUUAUAGUUGGGGAUGUUAGAGGGUCAUGCAGCACGGUCCUGGCAGCUGCCAGGAAGGAGAUGCCAGCUGGGGAGCUGAGGAUGGGGUCCAGGGCAGUGUGGACACUUGCCAUUCUCUGCAUAUAACGAGUAAGGUGGGUCUGGCAUCUUCUCGACACUGAACUAAAGCUACGUACACGGUCUUGGAAAUGCAGGAGGUGGUGGCACAUGGGCGUUUUCAUCUUAUGCAUGUGGUGCCUGUGGUGAGCAGAAGAGUGUGCCAGAUCCACAGGCGUGAGCUGCCAUGUGGGUCCCCGAAACAGAAUCCUCUGCAAGAACAAGUGCUCUUGACCACUGAGAUUCCCCCAGCCCUUCCUACCCGGGUCUUCGUGCCUGCCUGCAUUGUCUCAGUCCCAUCUGAUCUCAGCAGUGACCGCCGUCUCCGUCUUUAAGGGAGUGUUUGAAGACACUGUGCUGUGGGAAGAAGUUUCCAUGUGGAGCUUUUUCGGAGAAGGACCAGAGCUUGUGACGAGCCUCCAUGUAGUCAUCACCUGAUGGCACAUCUUCUCUUCGGUAUCCUCCAUAUUGUUCCCUUCUGCCCUAAUAUUCUGAAGCCACCAAGGAGCUUUCUGUUGACAACAUUGACCAGAUUCACUCCAGGAGCUGAAUUCUAGGCUGGGGCCCAGAAUAGAUGUGCUUAAACAGAGCUCUCUCAGAGUCUUGGCGGAGCAGCCAAGGCUGAGCGCUGGGACAUUGAGAGACCCCAGGGGAGGUGGAAGAGAUGAGUUUACCUGGAUCCGUUAAAGGACACUGGUAUCUUUCCUCCAAGUUCCUUCCAGAGAAUCAGCUGCUCCAGACAGGGACGAAUCCCCCUAAUGUCCCCUUCCCUACCUCCUCUUAUAGGGUCUUGGCAGGAAGAGAGCAAUGCCUUCCUGUCUCCUUGAUGACGUAUCAGCCGUGUCAGCCCCCCACCAGUGAGAGAAAAGGCCUGUGGGAUAUACCCAUCUGCAAGGGUUAACUGAGACACCAUGAGGAUAAAUGUUCCCUAGGCCUCAGCCAGCUGGAUCCCGUGAUCCAGAGCCUGGUGCUGGCACAGCCAGCAAACAAAGAUGCUUUGUUCAUGUACGAGAAUAAACACUUCCCCUGGAUAUUUACUCCCGGGCUCAAGUGUAAUAUGGGGUGUAAGUUACUCUUUAACAGGCAAUUGGAUACUGGCUGUUGAGUUCUGAACUAAUUUCCUGGAGGGAAGGGAUGGCUACAUCUGCCCAGGGGAUGACCAGCCUCAGGAGCGCCUAUGGCUGGCCAUUACCAGAAUCUGAGAACAGACACAGUGGCCACUGCAGGCUUCUCCAAGAGGCAGGGGAAGCGGAAUGAAAUGGAGGCCCAGCAAAGGGGAUGUUUAUUUUGCCAAGGCAAGGAACCUGCCUGUCCAUUCCCCUGCAUCCACACCAGCUGCUUGGGAGAAGGCAGUCAUCGUGUGCUUUGGGUGGGAAUAGGCUGUCCAGUGCCACGGUGCCCAGCCCCAAGCUCCAUUCCCACCAUUAACUGUUGCUACCCAAGUCUAAGCCUAGUCUUCUAGAUCAGAGGCAAUGGCUGACAUACCAUGACCUGUCAGUCUUUAGAACUUAAGUAAAACUGCACGGAGUGAGGCGUGGUGAUUGCUGGCAGGGUCCUUGUCUGGCAUGUGGCAGGCGCUGGGUUCCAUCCCUGACAUCUCAAAAGUAAAUGAAUAGCUACUGCACAUAGUUUUACAUGUCAAUCAUUAGAAACCUAGAUGAAGACUUUGGACAGAGAUUGUGUAGGAUCCACGGGGAGGAAAGGAAGCCAUCUCUCUUCCUACUGCCUGCUCUGAUUGGACCAUGGGAGACCUCUGCCCCAGGGAAGUUUGUCCUUGGCUUGCUAGAGACCUAUCGCUAAGUACAGAAAGAUGACAAGGCUAUUGACUUGCCCCUGCGUGGAUAUUUGGACCAGAAAAAGAGGAGGGAAUCACUUUGCAGGAGGAUGAUAUAAGUAAAUGACAUGUGGGCAUCAUGGAGGUCACUGCACAAUGCCAUCCUCUGUGGCGGGCACAGGAGGGCACCAGGAGACAGACUCAGGAAGAGGUGUGGAAGGAAGCAAGUCAGAAGCCCUCAGAGCAACAGAGAGCUGUCCUUUCCUUGACUGUGUGGUGGUUGGAAUGAGAACAGUUCCUGUUCGCUCAUAGAUUUGAAUAUUUGGUUCUUGGAAAGGUUCGAAGAUGUGGCCUUGUUGGAGGAGGUAUGUCACAGGUGGUUGGCUUUGAGGUUUCAAAAGCCUAUGCUAGGUCCAGUCUCCAUCUCUCUUCCUGCAUCUUGCAGAUAAGAUCUACAAAAGCUCCUAGCAAUUGCUCUAGCACGAUGCCUGCCUGCCACAACGCUCCUCUCCAUGAUGGUAAGGACUCACCCUCUCAGACUAUAAGCAAGCCCCCAAUUAAGUACUUUCUUCUAAAGUUUAUCUUGCUCAUGGUGUCUCAUUAUGGCCAUAGAAAAGUAACAGAGACAACUUGUUUGGAUUCAGGGGCCAGCCACAGAACUAGGACCCAGGAUCCUGUGACCUGUCAGUAGAUCUGGGCACCAUGAGCUCCUGAGAGAGGCCAUCUCAGGAUGGCUACCUGUGGGCCCUGGGCUUCACUCUUCUUCGUGCUCCCAGCUGCUUUUAUUGACAAGUGGGGAGAUAAAGAAGAUUGGGAGUGGAGUCAGAGGCUGUCAUGUGUACACGUGAGCCUAGAGUCAGCCCACUUUCCACCUGUAGUAGACUUAGGUUGACCUGUAUCGGCUCAAACACUGAGUGGGUGGGGAUCUAACAGAUUUGGGUGGUCAAGAAGGGGAGGGUCUGAACCUGGGUUCUGAAGAGAUUGGAAACUUGCCUGUGGUGGCUAAAACUCAAGAAGCUGGGUAUUUAAAAACAAUAAUUUGAAGCGGGAAGACCUACUUUAACCCCAGAUCUUUUGAGAUGGAAAGAUCCAUCUUUAAUCCGGGCCACACCUUCUGCUGGCAGAAGAUAAAGGUGAAGGGCAUGGGAUAAAGAAGUUUAUUCUUUUCCCCUGCUUGCUUUUGCUCUGCCUGGCAAGUCCAUUCCUCUCCUGGCCAUUAGAGCCUGCUUCUUUAGGAUUCCAGCAUAUACUGAAGAUCGGCUGAGACGGCCAGCCUCACAGACUGAUUCUUAGACCUUCUUCUGGUGUACAGCUGUUGCUGGACUAGCUGGACCAGAUCACAGCCUGUAAGCUAUUUCUAAUAAAACAUUUAAAAUGUAUA